rnacentral:tRNA from 1 species
GGGGAUGUGGCUCAGUGAUAGAGUGUUUGCCUAGCACACAUGAUGCCCUGGGUUUGAUACCCAGCACCACCA